rfam:Strongylocentrotus purpuratus Contig21257_fixed, whole genome shotgun sequence.
UGGCUCAGUCGUGAGAGCGCCCGUCUCAUGAACGGGAGGUCAUGGGUUCGAACCCCU